AGACAGAGGGAGAAGCAGGCUGCCAGGACCCCGGGAUCACAACCUGAGCUGAAGGAAGAUGCUCAGCCUUGAGCCACCCAGGUGCCCCUUAUGCAGUAAUUUAAAAAAUUGAGAAACUAAGGCCUGGAACUAGGGGCACAGGCCGACCCCAGAACAGAGCAGAGCACUCUCAAACCCUGUAUCAGACGAGUUAGAGCUAGAAAAGCAAAAAGGAUGGGGCCAGGAGAGAAUGAAGCCAUCCCCUGCUUCAUCUUCAAAAGCUCCACAGGCCACAUCCAACUGCAGAGCCCACCUUAUCGUGGAUUUGCUCAGCAUACACCUGGCCUGUAAUCUCUGCUCUGGUGCGACACCCAAUUCUCUAGUUCCUGACCCAGGCUGCUUGUGAGUUGUUAUUCCAGAGACCAUCCAGGGCAGGGGGUGGAAAAUUUCCUGGAAGAAGCCAUGGCAUCCCGCCUUCCUGCUUCCCCUGGGUUGUGAAAAAGAUCUAGGGUAGGAACACACGUUCUGUACCAGGAAGAGAGAAGUCCUAGGGACUGGAGAGUCCUAAUCUUGGCAGAUCCAGACCCAGUGGAGAUCUCUGCAUAUACCUGGGCUAGUCUACGACUCAUCCCAGAGAACCUCACCUACUGGUGCCUGUGCUCACACAGGUGGGACAGAAGUUGCAACUUCCCCCAGCCUUGGGUAGGUAGUACCUUCAUGGAUGGCCACUGGCUCUGGCCCCCACCUCCCCCUCGGGCGCCAUCCCUGAUUAAUGAUCUUGUCUUUCUGAUUUAUGAGCAGCCCCUCCAGACGAGGGUGGGCGCCCCUUGCGGCCCCGCCCGCCCCGCUCAGCUGGAGUAGGAGAGAAUUAUUAAAUAAACAUCCAUACGUCAUUCCUCCCCCCCCCAAGCUGGUUGCGCCGAACCCGUGCGGCCCGCUCCAGCACUGACACGGAGCAGCUGCGGUGAUUCAUGGGCAGCCGGGCCCCGAGCCGCGGCCCAUACAUCAUGCCAGCAGCACUCGCGGCCCCAGCCGAGAUAAACUGAUCAACCACAACGGGCUGGAAUGAAUUUAUGACAACACAAAAUGGAGGGAAACAAAUGGGAGGUGACCCUGGGCCACCGACCCGGCCUUGCACCGGCCUGCAAUCCACUCUCCUGGCAGGAGGCAAGAUGGAACACUGGCCCUGGAAUGAAGAGGCUGCCUUUUAACCCCAGGCAACCUAGCCUCCAGCAGAGAGAGAGGGGUGGGGUGAGGGGAGGUAAGCAGUGGCCAACAGCAGCAACUCCAGGCAGCCAGAACUGGACAAUGCCACUCUUAGGGCCAGAGCUGGCCUUGCUUGGGCUCCCGGAAAGGCAGUAAGACGCUCGGCUGAUUCCAAGUCCUUGUGUCGCCUGGGGAUCCAGGCCAGGGGCUGCCCAGCCCCAUGUAAAGUGCUAACGGAUCAGAUCCCCUUUCCCCUGCCACUGAACCCAGGCCAAAAAUUCCUACCAGAAGUGAUGAGACCCAAUGCUCCUGCCUAAAACCCACUGCGAGCGCCACCCGGGACAAGAAAAAUGAAACCAAUUUAGCUCCCGAUUAAGAAACAGAAACUAGAGAUGAAUCAAGUGCGCCGGCUGGGCUGGGCAGCCAUACAUCACAUUCCCGGGCGGAGGCCGCCGCAGCGGGCAGGCAGGCAGGCCGACUGCUCCUCCCUCCGCCAGGACUCCCAGGGCAGUGGCCCAGCGAUCAAUUCACAGAGUCACGCUUAGCACCAGCUGGGCCCCACUGCCGGUCGUGUGCCCAGGGCUGCAGGACUAAGCUGUGCUCUGGAGAGCCAGGAGCCCUGGCAGCAGACCUUUCUGCUAGCAAAGAGCACCCCCCACCCCCUGCACUGCCCUCCCAGGCGCCCCUCUCUCCUGGCCAGACACUCACUUCUCGAUGUCACUAUUCUUGCAGGUCUUCUGCAUGGCCUCCUGCUUGCUGCUCUCACCAUUGCUGGUAGAUGGCAUCUCUGCUGGGACAGAGGGGCAACUCAUACUCUGGCCAGACGGGGCAGCACAGGUCUAGGACGAGCAGAAAGAGGACAAGAAAUUCAGGUCUACGAAGAAGCCACUCGCACCGAGGACCUGGGCAUCCCCUGUGGCCCAUGGUCCACCGUGACAGUCCAUCAGAGGGAAGAGCAAACUGGCUAGGGCCAGUCAGAGCCACACUGCAAGACCCCCAGCCAACGUCCUGAUUUUGGCCGCCAGGUCCUUGCCAGCAAAAACACCAGGCAGCUGUUCAAAUAUUUGGUGUCUGAAGCGCCUGACAUUAAUUAUUCAUCUCCACCUCACUCAGCCCAGAUUCCUGGACAAGUGCAGUUAUAAAGGGAUUAGGAAGGGACAGACGAGGGAGGAUAGGCACGCACACCUGCUUCUCAGAGCAAUCCACAAAGGCAACCGGGCUGCAUGGAGGCAGGGCCAUGGGCCAGGAAGCUGCUGACCCUACCAAGGUGCAUCUGGCCCAGCCUCAGGCAAACCCCUGGCCAACAGGGACGGGUGAGCUGCCAAAGCCACCUCAGGGCUCCUUACCUGCCCUGUGCUCCCAUCACCUUUCCUGAGAGCCAGGGUCAGGGGCCACAAAGGUGCUUCUCCCUCCCUGCCCCUGCCUCCUCCUCCCAGUGGUCUCACACCACAUCCCCUGGCAGGCACAGCAGCCCCGCCAGGACACAGAGAGAUGAGAACAAUGGAAUCUGUGGCAGGUAGAAUCAGCAAGGAAACCCUCAGAGGCGAGGAAGCUCCAGAACUUGUUCUUGUCGUUCUUUCCAUUCUCACCAGGACAACAGUCUUACAGGGGGCCCUCAAGCCUCUCAUCUGUUCCUCCAUCCUGCUUGCCACAUGUUCUGACCCUUCUGUUCCUGGCUCCAAAACCAGCUAUGGCUCCCACCAGGUGUAUAAUCUCAGCCAGAUCUAUCAACAUGUGGAUGCACCUACUUCUCCACCUUUGCUCAUUUCCCUCCAUGAGCACUAUGCCUACAGACAACGUACUGCACCUCACACGAGCCCAUAUGUCCUGCUCUUGAGACCUUUGCUCAUGCUCUUCACUCCAUGUGGAAUGUUCUCCAUCUUUCAAGCCCACUUUCUUCCUGACCUUCCUUCCGCCACCUACGCUUCCAGUCUCUGGUCUCACGGAAGUUCCGUCCAUCCCAAAGGCAAGUAGCACGAAGGAAGGAGAGGCGCUAGGCACUGCCUUGGCUCCACCCCUCCCUGACAAUCCUCAUUUCCCCUCCACACUGAGGCACCAACAAACUGACACACUGAGGCAGCAGGCAGGUCAGCAGCAGGGCCAUUAAGCUGAGAAAACACCAAGUUACAGCUCUGUCUCCUGUUCACGGCCAGGUGUCCUGACAAGCAAUUCCCUCCUUGUGGGUGAGUGGCACCUCUAUAAACCCUCUGACAGUUUGGGAGACAAACUCCGCCAUCAAUCAGAAUGUAGCUAUCAGGUUCACUUACAGCCUGUGCCCCCGAACCCUGCCAACGCCCCCUCCCCCAAGUACACACAGCUCAGCAGUCAGCCUCACAUCCUCUCCUCAGCCUGGCCCUGCCCAGCCCUGUCUGGUGAGUGUGCAAAAAAGAAAGCAAAGAACUGGUGGCGAAGCUGAGAGCAGGGUCCCACAAGGCUGCCAGGAAGAGUCCCAGUUUCUCAACACAGAGAGCAGCCCUGUGGCCUGAAGUCCUCUCCUCUGCCAGGCCCUGACCAGGACUCCUGCUCCAGUGGACAGGAGCUUUCCCCAAGCCUGUGCCCUUGCCUUUGUACAUCCUGUUAAUUCUUCUGCCUCCUGGUCUACAAAACAAACCCGGCUGGCUUGUUCACAAGUCUGACCCAGCUCAGCCAUGCCUCCUGCUAUGAACUCACAGUGCCUAUGCGCAUAGCUGCUCCAGAAAUACCUCCUGAAUGAACUCACCCCAGCAACAUUCUUUCAACUUUUACUGAACUCAUCAUCCUCUGCCUGGUUUGGCAUCUGAGACCCAAGAGUUUCAAGACCUGAUCUGUACCCUCCAGUGCUGAGGGCAGAGAUGUCCCCAGGUAUUUCUACAUAGCUGUCCUCUUCCUUGGUGUCCACCCAGACUCCCGGGCAACUCCAAUCAUAUUUAUUUGUAUCGCCAUGGUCCCUCACCAGAUUCAAAACCCAGGUCUGAUACACUGCUGUGGUCUCAGCAUCAUCCAGCAGAGCUGGCCAGGCCCACAGCAGUGAUGGCUGGCCCCAACCUGGUAGGGCCCGAGAGCCCUGUGUCAGAAAGGAGGCUGAGGCCUGAAGCAGGUGACUUCCUGCUCCUCUGACCAGCUAGGUAGGACGGGGAGCAUGACACAUGCUGUGACCCUGACCCCAUCCCCCAGUGCAGACAGGUGUAGGGAACCUCUCCCUGCCCCCACAGGUGUUCAGAACAGGCUGCUACUGCCAAUUUCCCUCUUAUGCUGCCCUAGCCUGCUCCAAUCUCCUUCCCAGCACAUUAAACUUUAUUUUCUUAAUGAAAUGUCACUUGCUGACUUCUGGCAGAAUCAUAAUAAAAAGAAACUGCCAUAAAGCCGUUUUAUGCAGACAGCGCCCCCACCAGCUUGCCCUCCCCCCCUGCUUUGAGAGGAAGGCUCCAUAGCUGUUUUAUGUUCUCAGCUGCUGGAACAUCCCAAGCCAGUACUCAGAGGCAAGAUGGCACACAGAGCUCCUUUCCAAGCCUCUGGCUCCUGUUCCAUGUAGCUCUGGGGAUAACAAGCAAGCUGCCACUCCUGCUGCUGCUAUCCAGGGAAGCAACUCAGCUCCCAGGACCUCCAAGAUGACCUGGAGUACCCUCCAGUCUACAGGGCAGGCCCCUUGCUGGGGCUCAACCCCACCUCAAGUGGCACAACACGAUGGGCUGCUGUCUACAGUCAAGCUAAGCCUGACUGUCAACGACGCUCAGCAGAGUGGGUUCUGGGAGGGCAGGCAGUGUGAAAAACCACUUCCCUCCAAAUGAAGACUUAGCAACAGAAGAGAUUUAAAUGCAGAAAUGAUAAGCAAGUCUAAAUUUUAUAAAAAUGACCCCUCUCCCAUAAACUCAAUUCUUCCUGGGUCAUCAAGGAGAAAAGGGGGAAAAAAAAAAUCAGUGUUAAUUUAAUCAAUUGAUUAGGUGAUCGAUUGAGAAACUGGAGAUGCCCGUUUACUGGGGACACUAACGUCCUGGAACCCGAAACCACAAAAUAAAGGAGCCAUCAAUUUCCUCACCUGCUGCUCUUAACAAAACCUGAGCCCAGGGAGAAAGGAAAGUCUUGGGGCCCUCCAGAGGCCAUGCUCUUGAGGGGAGGGGCGGGGGGAGAGACUGGGGCAGCAGCUUCCGGAGAGUUUUACACUGGAAUUAGUUACAGAUGCAGUUACGGUGUCUUGUGUAAACGCCAUCGAUUGGGGAGCUGACAGUCUGGGGAGCUGCGAUGCGGGACAAUCAAUCGGCCUGCAGUGUCACCUGCCACCUCGCUGAACAGUUGACAAUGCAAUUAUCCAGUGUGGAGGCAGGGAGUUGGCGUGUGUCAAACGCACUUAGCCACUUUCCGGGCCUCCUCAAUAACGCGUUUCACUGCCUCACGUCAGGAGAGACGCAGAGAGACAGACGCCGUUUAAAACCAUUGAUACUUGCUCCUUCUGCCUGCACUCCCUCUGUCCCAGCUUAACAAUUGUGUUCCAAAAGGCGAUUAAAUCCCCGUCAGUUGCCACAGGGGACAGAAGGUGCCCUGCUCCCUGCCACCUCUCCUCACCCCUCCCACCAGGCAGCAGUUAGAACUAAAGGCAGUAGGGAGCUAGAAGGCAGAAGCCCUAGCCAUCCCCACUCCAAGACGGCCACCGGUGCUCCAGCACCUGUCACUGACCAGACCAAGCAGCGGGGCUGCACUGGGGGGUGCUUGUAGCCGUGGGGGCUCCCAUCUUUUGGGGACUAAUGUGCUAAAGGGGGCAGCGGCUAGGGGAGAGCCUAGCUCUCUGUGCCCUGGGACUCCCAGUACCUCUCACCUCCUGACCCAGAAUCGGGUGGUUUUAGCAAGCCACAGCUGGUCAAAACAUCCGGGAGACCUGCCAGGUCUUUUAGCUGUCCUGCCUGUCCUCUCUGUGAGAUCUCAUCCCUGGCUACUUGGAACCCGCCUAAAGCUGAGACGGGAACUUGAGAAAGAUGCAGUCGCAGGGCAGACGCCUGCACAGCUGAUUCUCUAGUGGCCUCAUUCUCCCUCCCCUCCACCUGUUUGAUUCAAACGUGCUCAGGCACAGAGUCUAGCAGUGUGCCUCCUGUCAGGGCUCACAGAUGCAGCUGCGGCACCUUCUAGUUCCUGUGUGGCCUCCCGGGAAAUUUUUCCAUGUCACCACACUCUUGUGCCUGCCCCAUCCCUGUUACCUUUUCUGAAACCAACCAUUCCUGUGUCCUCUCUCCAGCCUGUCCAUUCCAGACACGACGGGCUCCAGGCUCCUUAAAUCCAGCAGGGUGAACUUUCACUAGCAACCAAUACAGGGCAAGGAUGAAAGCUCAACAUAAGUCUCUUCUAGGACCCAGGGGCCAGAGACAGGCAAAGAGGAAAGGUGUGGCUCAUUCAUCACAUACUUCCUUUGCCUACAGAUGGGAGAGUUUUGUCCCAAAGGGCUGUGUAAUUAGGUUUCCCUGAGGCCUGCUGCUCUAGCCUAGAGGCCCCUUGCUCUGCCCAUGCUGGCAUGAUGUCCCAGAAGAGGAUCUUUUUCUUCUACCUGCUAAGCUCUCUCAGGGAGAUGUUGGGGAAGCACCAGGCCCUGUGCCACCCUUUAUGCAAUUCUAAUGCUCAGUGGAGGAAAUGGCAGGAGCCACUGAGCAUCCCUUGGGUUCUGAGAGGACGUCAGCAGCUCGGGCACAGUCCAUGACUUCUGAGAACUGGGAAGGCCACCGUAUUUCCCAAUGUUUUAGGUCUUCCAACCUACUGUCUUGAAAUCUUUAUUUCCUUUAGCCUCUUAAAGAUCUAAUCCUAGCUAGACCUAUCUUGGUGCUUACUUACCUGUUCUGUCUGGUAUUUCAUUUUGUUCUAGAUUCCAACUCCAAGCAAUCCAGGGCCUGAGCUAGCUGGGCUUUGCCUUCGAUAGCCACAGGUCCAUCUCCAAGGCCUGUUCCCCUCAGCCAAGUGUCUCCACCAAAACUCUUGCUCACUCCCUGGCUCCAAAGCAGAUCACAUUCAAGGUAACAGAUCUGCUCCAUCAGACCAGUUCCCAGUGGGCUUGGUGGGAAGCUUUGCUGAGGAUGAUGAAGGGGCUCUGGUCUGGGAGGAGGGAUAGGGGAUGAUCGGAUACAGGAACUUAUCUGCAAUUCUUCAAUUCUUUCAUAUCUAACAAGGACAGCAAUCUCUGUUCUGUCAGCACGCACAGUGCCGCUUAAAUGGGCCUCACCACUUGCCCGCUCAUCCUGCCUCUGCUCCCUCUCUCUGAAGUCGGCUGGGCAGCUUCUUCAGCCGGCGUUAUCACUCCCUCUAACCGGUCUUGGCAGGCAAUCUAAUUCCUCCUGAAAAGGUCACCGCCAUUUUAACUGCCUUUCAAUCACAUUAAGCACGCGCUGCCCGGCUUGCGGCCCGGCCCGCCCGGCGGGCGAUCAAUGCGCAGCACUGACACCAGCCCGCCUGGCGGGGCCACACCCAACCCCCCAAGAGUUGAGGCCUACCGGUCCUGGCCAGGGAGGGUAGACUGACAGAUGGCCAGCUUCUGCAGACAGGGUUUCAGGGGCAGAGGCAGGCAGGAUCAACCAGGGUCUCCUUUGAUGCCCCUCCCGCCCCCCCACCGAGGAGCCUCAGCCUCCUCUGCUCCACUGCGCCCCGCUCUCUGCCUCGUGGCCCCCGCUGAUCUUGCUGUAAAACAGCCUUUCAAGUCUGCCUGUCUUUUGACUGCACUAAGCUGUUUAAGAGGCGGCAGCAGCUUCUAUCAGGCAAGCUGGAGCCAUUCUCUGCAGAUAAAGGCACCUCCGGCCCUGCUCCCUCUUCAAGCCUCACUCUCAUUCUCGCUCUCCAAAUCGCUCAAAGAAAAGCCCCCCUUUGAACUACCCUCAGGAAUUCUUGAAAGGAACAACCUCACACUGUAAACACUCAGGGAAAACUGACACCCGCCCAGGGCCUAAGAGCACAGCACACCCGCUCUGCAAGUGCGUCCCAGCGCAGGGGAAAUACUCUGUCAAACCAGCAGGCCCCAUGUAUGCAGCUUUACCCCCUGGAAGCCUUGUCUGGUGCCCAGAAGCCAUCAGGUCCAGUUCUGUGCCAGGAAACCUAAGAGGUUGCCACAGUCAUGGAAGAUGUGAGUAUCUGCAGCUGCCAACAGAGUGAACCUAGGGCGGCAUGCUGCAACAGACCCUGCAUGGGCCACCACCAGACACCUGUGUGUGCGAUUCCCAGGAUCCUCGUUUUUUUUUGCUGCUCAUCCUCCCAGGGCCUCACACACUCUAAAACUCUAGGACCAGAAUGAAAUGGCAAAUGAACUUUCUCCAGCUCAGGCUCUGGCAAUGGUUUGGGCUGAUUUACUGUACUGAUUUACACUCUGGAUUGCCCCAAAUGCUUGGGGGAUGGAGAGAAACCCAGAGGCAGAAAGCCUCACCUGGACUCGGAGCCCUUCACGUGUCCAGUCUGCACUGCACCGGUGCUAUGGAGACCGCUCCUCAGGACCAGCCCACACAGCAUGGCCCCAACAAGGCAGAGACCCUCUGCCCAGCUGCUGUGAGAUUCCCCGGGGACCAGACCCACCAGUACUCCCAAGGGUGUUGCCCAGGGAAUUGGAGGCAGACGGGAAGCAGAUUGGUUCACUUAAUGAUCGUACUAACGCGGCUUGGCUGUCACCUUCAAUGCAUCACCCGAGGCUGAGAGCCCCCCUCGUCACUCCUAGCUUGCAGCCUCACAAUUCCAUUUCCCCACCCAAAUACAUCCAUUUUAAUAUGCACAUCACAGGCAGGCAGCACGGUCACAAAGGAGCCCCGCCAGCAGCGGUUCCCACGUGGUGGAACGGAUGACCAGCCACCGGCCCUGGCCUCUCAGCUCCCAACAGAUGGAUCCCCAGCGGAGGCCUGGCCACCAGAGUGCCACUGCUUUAUGUGUCAGCUGCUUGUACCUCGGAAACCACCUUCCAGGAGAGUGGUGGCCCGUAUCCGCUUCUGCCCGCACCACUCAUAUUCCUCAAAGCGGUUGCUGUUCUCGUGCUCGAUGUCCACGGCAUCAUCCUCAGCCACGCAGGAGCCUUCCCUCUGUGAAGAGCAGAGUAGGAUCAUGCGGGUCCCAGGCCACACUACCUGCUCCCCAGAGUGUACGAGGAAGGCACAGGCCUGGCCCCCAGUUUGGUGUGCCAGAUGGGCUCCUGGCUCCAGUGCUCCUUUCAAGUAAACAAAUCUAGAAGUCAAAGAUCUGGGCCUCUUCCCAAUAAUUUUCCACUGGAGCCCCAGGGGAGGGGAAGAAGAGUAAAAGCAAAGGAAGAGGGUGAAGAACAAAGAGGAAGAAGCUGCUGAGCCCACAUGGAGACCCCAACAUAGCCCAUAAACCUGGGGGCAGCCAGCAGCUAGUGU